GGGGUUGUGGCUCAGUGGUAGAGCACUCGCCUAGCACAUGUGAGGCACUGGGUUUGAUUCUCAGCACCA
rnacentral:tRNA from 1 species